rnacentral:rRNA from 1 species
UACGUAGGGUGCGAGCGUUGUCCGGAAUUAUUGGGCGUAAAGAGCUCGUAGGCGGUCUGUCGCGUCGAUCGUGAAAACUUGGGGCUUAACUCUGAGCUUGCGGUCGAUACGGGCAUGACUGGAGUUCGGCAGGGGAGACUGGAAUUCCUGGUGUAGCGGUGAAAUGCGCAGAUAUCAUGAGGAACACCGGUGGCGAAGGCAGCUCUCUGGGACGGUACUGACGCUGAGACGCGAAAGCGUGGGGAGCGAACAGG